rnacentral:rRNA from 1 species
GAUGAACGCUGGCGGCGUGCUUAACACAUGCAAGUCGAACGGAAAGGCCCAAGCUUGCUUGGGUACUCGAGUGGCGAACGGGUGAGUAACACGUGGGUGAUCUGCCCUGCACUUCGGGAUAAGUCUGGGAAACUGGGUCUAAUACCGGAUAGGACCACCUCCUGGAUGUUGUGGGGGAGAGAUUUUUCGGUGUGGGAUGAGCUCGCGGCCUAUCAGCUUGUUGGUGGGGUAAUGGGCUAUCAAGGCGUCGGCGGGUAGCCGGCCCGGGAGGGUGUACGGCCACAAUUGGGCCUGGGUACGGCCCCGACUCCUACGGGGAGCAGCAGGUGGGAAUAUUUGACCAAUGGGGGGAGGCUGGUGCAACGACGGCGGGUGGGGGAAGGCGGCCUUCGGGUUGUAAACUCGUUUCGCCAUGGGCGGAGCGUUUUGUGACGGUACCUGGUGAAGAAGCACCGGCUAACUACGUG